rnacentral:rRNA from 1 species
AUGCACAUGAAGAUGAGCAAGACCCCAAGUCCAAGGAAGAAAGGAACCAACGAAAGAAGGCAAAAGCAGCCUCCAGGCACCGGACAUCCGGCCAAGGCCCCGGACAUCCAGCCCCUGGAGAUCUACACGGCCAGCCCCUGCAGAAGAAGACUACAGCGACCAUACAUCCGGCAUCCAGCCCGGACAUCCGGCCUCACACCGGAAAUCCGGCCUCCCGCCCGGAUAUCCGGACACAGCGUCCCAAAUGCUCAGAAGAUGGCCCCGACAGCCCGGACAUCCGGCCUACGCACCGGACAUCCGGCCCCUCCGGAAGCACCGGACACCCGGCACCUCCAGCCCAGACAUCCAGCACCUCACGAGCCACCGGACAUCCGGGACGACGCCCGAACAUCCGGCGCCCCCUACCUGCGCGCAGCUACUUUGGGCCGUGACCCAUGUAUCCCUUCGCCCCUUUGA